rnacentral:rRNA from 1 species
UACGGAGGGUGCAAGCGUUAAUCGGAAUUACUGGGCGUAAAGCGUACGUAGGCGGCUUGUUAAGCAAGAUGUGAAAUCCCCGGGCUCAACCUGGGAAUGGCAUUUUGAACUGGCAGGCUCGAGUUCGGAAGAGGGUGGUAGAAUUUCCAGUGUAGCGGUGAAAUGCGUAGAUAUUGGAAGGAAUACCGGUGGCGAAGGCGGCCACCUGGUCAGAAACUGACGCUGAGGUACGAAAGCGUGGGGAGCAAACAGG